CCUACGGGUGGCAGCAGUGGGGGAUAUUGCACAAUGGGGGAAACCCUGAUGCAGCAACGCCGCGUGUGGGAAGAAGGUUUUCGGAUUGUAAACCACUGUUCUUGGUGAAGAUAAUGACGGUAACCAAGGAGAAAGCUCCGGCUAACUACGUGCCAGCAGCCGCGGUAAUACGUAGGGAGCAAGCGUUGUCCGGAUUUACUGGGUGUAAAGGGUGCGUAGGCGGUCUUGCAAGUCAGACGUGAAAACCACAGGCUCAACCUGUGGACUGCGUUUGAAACGGUGGGGCUUGAGUGAAGUAGAGGUAGGCGGAAUUCCCGGUGUAGCGGUGAAAUGCGUAGAGAUCGGGAGGAACACCAGUGGCGAAGGCGGCCUACUGGGCUUUAACUGACGCUGAGGCACGAAAGCAUGGGUAGCAAACAGGAUUAGAUACCCGAGUAGUC
rnacentral:rRNA from 1 species